rnacentral:pre_miRNA from 1 species
AUUAUCAUGGAUCUUGUUAAAAUGCAGAUUCUGAUUCUAGAGAUCUGGGAUGGAGCCAGAGAUUCUGCAUUUUUAAUAAGUUCCCAGGUGAUGCUGC